rnacentral:rRNA from 1 species
CCUACGGGGGGCAGCAGUGGGGAAUAUUGGACAAUGGGGGGAACCCUGAUCCAGCCAUGCCGCGUGUGUGAAGAAGGCCCUCGGGUUGUAAAGCACUUUCAGUGAGGAAGAACGCCUGGUGGUUAAUACCCAUCAGGAAAGACAUCACUCACAGAAGAAGCACCGGCUAACUCCGUGCCAGCAGCCGCGGUAAUACGGAGGGUGCGAGCGUUAAUCGGAAUUACUGGGCGUAAAGCGCGCGUAGGUGGCUUGAUAAGCCGGUUGUGAAAGCCCCGGGCUCAACCUGGGAACGGCAUCCGGAACUGUCAAGCUAGAGUGCAGGAGAGGAAGGUAGAAUUGCCGGUGUAGCGGUGAAAUGCGUAGAGAUCGGGAGGAAUACCAGUGGCGAAGGCGGCCUUCUGGACUGACACUGACACUGAGGUGCGAAAGCGUGGGUAGCAAACAGGAUUAGAUACCCUUGUAGUC